GAUGAACGCUAGCGGAAGGCUUAAUACAUGCAAGUCGAGCGGUAUAUGGUUUCGGCCAUAGAGAGCGGCGCACGGGUGAGUAACGCGUACAUGACCUGCCUGUCAGAAGGGGAUAGCCCUGGGAAACUGGGAUUAAUACCCUAUGGUAUUGAUGUUAUAGAUGAUAUCAAUUAAAGCUGAGGCGCUGACAGAUGGAUGUGCGUCUGAUUAGCUAGUUGGUAGGGUAACGGCCCACCAAGGCGACGAUCAGUAGGGGGCGUGAGAGCGUGGUCCCCCACACGGGUACUGAGACACGGACCCGACUCCUACGGGAGGCAGCAGUAGGGAAUAUUGGUCAAUGCCCGCAAGGGUGAACCAGCCAUUCCGCGUGGAGGAUGAAGGCCCUAUGGGUUGUAAACUUCUUUUAGAUGGGAAGAAAAUGCUAGAUUUUUCUGGUACUGACGGUACCAUCAGAAUAAGCACCGGCUAACUCCGUGCCAGCAGCCGCCGUAAAAC
rnacentral:rRNA from 1 species